rnacentral:lncRNA from 1 species
UAUUACUUUAACCUAUACACGAGUUAUAGGCAUUGAUUGUCGUUCAUAUUUCAUUCUCAGAGAGAACCAGUGACAACAGGAGUGUGAUAUCUUGACUUGUGAGUGAAUUAGAUUCAAGUGAGACAGAACUGUGCAAAGUCUUCAGCUCCACUCUCUGCUCCAGAGUUGUCAGAGUCCAGGGCAAGAGACAGGUCAGCACCGCUGGAGGUGGCCCCAGCUGCAGUGGGAAACCCUCAGAAUUUCCAGCCGGAAUCGAAGGUGCCCAGAGCCAGAGAACCUCCACAAUGAAAAAACUAGAAUAUGAGGAAAAACAAGAUUUUUAUGGAAGGCCUCUGCAACACAUAUUCAGUCCUAAAUAAACCAAUAUUUGUAUGAAUUGGAGGUGAAGAAAGAGAGGAAGAACAGUUUUUGCAACACUGAUUUCCAGGUGAUGAAUUAUCUGCAUGAGACUAUUGGUUCAAUUAUUCUGAUGACAUUGAACUGGUGGUUUUACUUUUUUUUUAUAAAGCCUUGUUGAUACCUUGUUGGUUUGAUAUACAGUAGAUGAUUCUAUAGAGAAAAAGAAAAAAGUUUGGCGACCACCACAUAUUCACUAGAUAUGUUUCCACAUGACUUUGGGAGAUCUCCUUAACAAGUGAUUGAAGCAACAUUAUUGGGUUUUAACAAUUGAAAAUAUCCUACUAUGAGAAAUGGUAAAAUUAGCUUUGUAAUUUGUUUUACUCUUUCACUUGCUUUUCUGCUGUGAAAGCUCAACAACCAAAAUGGACUUAUAAUGUGAAAUGAGGAGAAAGCAUUUCCUAAAUUAGGAACCAACUUAGUUAUAAGGAGAAAAUUCUAAAUGACAACUUUUCUGUCAUUCUAUUGCUCUUUAAUCUUAAAGAAGAAGGCUGUCUGUCUCUUCUUCUGUACAUAAAUGUGGUCAUAGAUUCUUAUUUGAAGGUAAAGGACAUGGGCCAUCCAUAAAGAGUUGGUAGAGUCUUCAUUUUUAGAGCUGGAAAAGAUCUUAGAUAACAUGUAUUCCAAUCCCUCACUUUGAGAGAUGAAGAAUCAGAGGCCCAGAGAAGUAAGUCACCAAAAACACUGAUCUGGCAACCAGGAUUCGAGACCUGUCUUUCCUGCCUUCAACAAAUUACUUUAUUUCUUUGUAUCACACCUUUCCUAAUCUGUAAAACAAGGUUGAGAAUACUUGAACUACCUUCUUCAUAGCAUUCCUCUACUGGUAUUUUACCAUUAACAUAAUAUGAUAACAUAAUCUAAUAAAUGUAAAAGCACUUUGAAAAGUUCA